CCUACGGGUGGCAGCAGUGGGGAAUAUUGCGCAAUGGGCGAAAGCCUGACGCAGCGACGCCGCGUGAGGGAUGAAGGUCUUCGGAUCGUAAACCUCUGUCAGCAGGGAAGAACGGUCACUGUGCUAAUCAGCAGUGAAUUGACGGUACCUGCAAAGGAAGCACCGGCUAACUCCGUGCCAGCAGCCGCGGUAAUACGGAGGGUGCGAGCGUUAAUCGGAAUUACUGGGCGUAAAGCGCUCGUAGGCGGUAUGUCAAGUCAAGGGUGAAAUCCCCGCGCUCAACGUGGGAACUGCCUUUGAUACUGGCAAACUGGAGUGUGUUAGAGGAUAGUGGAAUUCCAGGUGUAGGGGUGAAAUGCGUAGAUAUCUGGAGGAACAUCAGUGGCGAAGGCGACUAUCUGGCACAUAACUGACGCUGAGGAGCGAAAGCGUGGGGAGCAAACAGGAUUAGAUACCCUAGUAGUC
rnacentral:rRNA from 1 species